GGGGGGGGGGGGCAAAGGCUGAACCAGGCCGAGAACUACAACAAACUUUCCAAAAAACCUUCAACCUUUUGGCUUGAUCUGCUGCAUAAAUACUUUGUUGAUGCACCAUAUGUCACGGUGGUCGGACAGCCAAGCCAACAACUACAAGAAGAGAUGGCACGGAUUGAGGCAUUGAGAUUGGAAUGUCAACGUGAACAGCUUGGACCACGAGGAUUGAUCAACUGCUCUACGUGCCUACAAAAAGCUAUCAAAGAGAAUGAAUGCGAGUCUCCACAAGAGCUUCUGAGCUGCUUCUGUGUUCCCAGCACAGACAGCAUCUUCUUUCAUCCCAUACAGCGGCACUCAACCGUGCUUGAAGAUAAAGAGCAAAGUGAUGACCUCAUCUUAACCAAUGUUCCUUUUCCCACCCAAGUUGAUCACAUUCACUCCAUCUUUGUUCGGAUAAUUGCAAUGUUGGACACGUCGACUGUACCUGCCUACCUGAAGCCUUACCUCACACUCUACUCUGAAAUUUUGUUUGAAUCACCCGUGAUGCGUGGUGAUGACAUUGUUUCUCACUCGGAGGUGAUCAGACAGCUGGCAGCUGAUACGGUCAAGUCGAGUGCCUCGCUGGGGAUUAAGGGUGGUCGUUUUCACUGUGGAGUACAUGGCCAGCUGCUGUGCUUGACACUGAAGGUAGAGAUGGACAAGUACCUAAAAGGUGUGCAGUGGUUGAAGGAACUUCUGCAUCAGGUUGUAAUUGUGCCUGAACGGGUGCAAAUGGUAGCCACAAAAAUCCUCAACGAAAUCCCAUGUCUGAAGCAAGAAGGCUGUGCUGUGGCCACAACAAUCAUAAAAGAGCUCAAUUUCAAUAGUGAGAGCAACCAUGUGACCUCUGGCAUGGUGAGACAGCAACAAUUCCUUUUGAAGCUGCUUGAGCGACUGCAGAAAGAGCCGUCAGAGGUACUCACAGAUCUUGAGACUUUGAAGAAUUUCUUGGUGGCACCAGAAAAUCUUCGUGUCCAUAUCUCGGCCAACAUGGAUUCUCUCAGCCAAAUAUUCCCUUCACCGCACAUGGCUCUUUGUUCUGCUCUGCUGAAGGACAACCAUCUUAAUAUGGCUAUUCUGCCAAACCCAUUGAAAGAGAGCCACUAUUUUCUGCGGCAGACGUCCCCCAUCGGUGUUAUUGUUGGUGUGGGUGCCGUUGAGUCAAGCUACCUAAUACAGACCGUGCCGUGCAUCACCAGCUGCCUGGAUCCUGAUCUACCCGCGAUUAUGGUUUUCAUCGAGUACCUCACGGCUCUUGAGGGCCCAAUGUGGAGACAGGUACGAGGCUUGGGUUUGGCAUAUCACUACAGCAUGCAGGUACAUCCCAGUGAAGGCCUACUGUACUUCAUGCUGUACAAGUCAAGUCAACUAGUGAGUGCCUAUAAGCAGGCCAUGGACAUUCUGGCUGAGUAUGUCUCUGAGGAGUCGAUGUGGGAGAUUAGUUCGGUUGAAGCCGCUGUAUCGAGCGUCAUCUACGAGAUUGUUGAGCGUGAAACCACCGUAUCCGAUGCUUCUUUGCAGUCACUGCUAGCCUCCUUUCGUGGCAUUGACAACAAAACAUUGUUGAAGAAAGUUUCACAGGUGAGAGUUGAGGAUUUGCGCCAUGUUGGCAGUCGAUAUUUUUCACAUCUUUUCAAUUCAGCAUUUGCCAACUGUGCUGUUGUCUGCAACCCAUCACGAGUUGAAGAAAUUUUCCAAGGAUUUCAAGGACUUUCAAGAGAUCUUGUUGUGUGGACGAAUUUGGACGACAAUUUUCAGUAACCUCGCUCGGAAUUGCAACCGGAUGCACUGAAUGCACUGAACCGAACAAAUGCACUGAAUAAUGGAAGUCAAAAUGUGCACCUCAGUUGUUCACUUAAUACCUGCAUGCUGCGUUGAAUCGUGCGUUACUAAGGUAAUGAGAAAAGUGAUGUGCACACACAUCAACUAACAAUGCAAAAUGAUUUUCUUUAGUUUGUUACAUGCAACUUUUCGUUUGUUUUAAUAUCUGUUUCAAAAUGCUAUGUGAAGGAUAAAUUGCCGCUGCAUGAUGAUAGCAUUUCUGAAUAAAACCGAGUGGCCAUUUUUGCCAUCGUUAUUAUUGAAUGCCUUCUUUUGUUACCUUGCUUUCAGUUAUCAAGCUUAUAAUUAUGAAAUCUGCCUCUAAUUAGUGUGGCAUACACCUAACGGAUGUCGUUAGUUGCAAAGACAAAAGCGAAUCGAUACCCAAAAUGCAAAGCAUAAACAACAUGGCAGAUGGUCGUUUGCUGUUUAAACAAUGCAAGGUAAUUCUGAAAUGGUAUUUGAAAUUCGAUUUUUUUUUAAAGUGGUAUACGAUUUGUGGACAUGAUUGUUUGGUCAGAUGAGGCAACAUUCAAGCUCAAUGGGACAGUGAACCGACAUAAUUGUGUGCAUUGUUCUUCUGAAAAUCCGAACAUUCAUGUCGAGAAGGCAGUGAAUUUACCAGGAUUUAGUUUGGUGUGGGGUGUCAUCCAGGGGUGUUGUGGGACCGUACUUUUUUGAAUAUACGGUUAUUGGUGCUGCAUACCUCCACAUGCUUGAGGUAUCCAUUGUGCCCACCGUUCAUAAGCUGAAUGGAGAUGAGGAAGUUUACUCCCAACAAGAUGGGGCACCCCCACAUUACCAUCGUGAUGUCAGGGCUUAUCUUGAUGACCCUUUCCCAGACUGGUGGAUAGGCCAAAGUGGAAGUGUUGAGUACCCCCCACAUUCACCUGAUUAAACUCCACCUUUUACUUGUGGGGCUAUGUGAAGGAUUUAGUGUACAGCAGAAAAACCAGCCACACUUCAGCAAAUAAGGAAUGAAAUUGAACAGUUUGUGUUUGUUGUAAGAAUAAUAGUAGAUACGUUGGUAAAUGUUUGUCACUCAGUUGUUUGCUGCUGUCACCAGUGCCUGGAAGCUGACGGUGGUCAUUUUAAACAUCUGCAAUAGUUCACCAUGUACCACAUACUAUUGUUUCUGCACACACGUAAUAUCGACCUUUUUGGAGGUGUGUAAUGGGUAGUUUUUUUUUUCUUAAAAUAUGUGAACAUCUUUUUGAGACACC
ensembl:lincRNA